CUUGCUAUUGUUCCAUCUGCAAUUGAGCACCCUUUCUGCAGAAAGUAAAGAUAGCCUUGCUAAGAGAUCAUUUGUCUCCAUGCUGACUUUUCUUUGCAGCACCAAUUAACUAUUUCUAACAAUUUUGGGGGCUUGUCCAGGAUUACAGUCUCCUCUAGGGUCAGUCUCCAGUCCUCUCUUGUGAGAAGGCAUGCCCCACUACCUCGUUUUUGGCAGCCUCAGGGGUGAGGAACCGAGAUCCACCCAGUGUGACGAAUAAACUGGGACUCUCAGCAACGUGGAAAGAAACUGGCUAGCGACCUAGGUUAAAGGAUCCUCACAUACCGUGGCGACAACUCUGUGCACAGACCAAGGAAGGAGAAACCAUGGGAGCCAAGGCGUAUUGCCACAUUUGGGGCAAUGCGUACGUAUGUGGUUUCGUUAGCUCCAGCGGAGGCUAAUCCUCUGAUAGAGCCACCUCUCACACGAAACACUGAAUGGAGGCAAUCCCAAGACGGAUGGAGCAGCGGCAGCGCAGGUUGCUGCAGCUGUGCUGCCAGAGAUUGUAAUUCAGGAAACAAUCUCAAGCUGAGCAGAGGAAAAAAUGAGAUUCUUCAUGAAAAUGGCCAAAUGUCAUCACCAGCUAUUUUGUGAGAUGAGCUAUGUUAGGAGCCAUCCACAUGUAAAAUGGACUUUCACCAAAUUCCAUCCAUCUGCAGGUCAUGGAAGCUCACAACAUGUAUGUCUCCUGAGGGAGCCUUUUCUUUUUGUGCUUUUUCUGGCACUAAGAAAUACAGACACUUGUGAUUUACUACUGGGCACUUAUAGGAAUGGAGUCAACUAUUUCCUAAGAAACUCAAAGACUGAAAUGAGAAAUUCAGAAAAUAAAAAUAUUUUCUGUGUUAGAAAACUAUAUACCAGAAAGCCUGAAAAGUGAGGGAAAGGGCACAGAAAUUCUGGUUAAUAAGAUGUUGUAGAUUAGUGAGAACUUGAACAUGUUUUUGCUUCCAGUAUAUUUUUUGGAAUUUCUAAACUAUAUUAGUUCCAUUUCUUGCCUUAGGAAUUACAGUAUUGUGAUCAUGUGAGAAAAGAUAGUUCUAAAUAUUAAUAAAUAUUUUUAACUUCAUCAAA